rnacentral:lncRNA from 1 species
AGGCGCUGGAGUUGGGGCAAAAGGGAGAGGGAGGGAGCCCGAAACUCGCGGCGGCGGCCAAUCGGCUCUCACUGCCGUCCAAUCGCAAGACCUAGCUGCAGUGUGAUUGGCCUUCGGCCCCGGUCCCAGGAGCGGGGAGAUGCCUGACUCGGGUCGUGGCUGACGACCCGACGGUUCGCCUGCGGCCGCCUCCAACAACGGUGGAAACCGCACACAGGGACCGCGGGCCCUCGGUGCAGCAAAUCGGAAAGUGCUGCGGUCGGCGGCCCUGGGCUCUGAGCGCUCAAGCGAGCAGAGGGGUGGAGGGGCUCUCCCCACCCACAGGAGGCUCUCGGCGGGGCGCAGCCAAUUCUGCGCGCCCAAGGCUCCCCUCUGCCGUGGAUCGCGUGUGCCGAGUGUUGGCCUCUUCCCCGAAAGGGCCAGACGGACCAAGGGGGCCUUCCCAGCCGGCUGCAAGCUCUCAGACGCUAAAAUGGGAACAAAGCUUCCAGAAAGGCAGCGCCUUUGGGCGGCCGCGCCCCGCCCAGCCGCGGGGGCCAUUGAUACAGAGGCUUGCUGCGCUUGGUGUGCGCGGCCCGGCCGGGCCUCUGGAAACGCCCAUGAGAAAUGAGCUCAUGCUGGAUGCGCGCGCUCCUUGGGCGCAACUGCCCAGCGCAAAACGGGCCCCGAAAGCAGGGUCUCACUUUGUCCUCCAGGCUGGAGUGCUGCGGCCUCAACCUCCCAGGUUCAAGGGAUCCUGCUGCCUCAGCCCCCCAAGUAGCUAGGACUACAAGGGUGCACCACCACACCCAGCUAAUUUUUGUAUUUUUUGUAUAAAUGGGGUUUCGCCAUGUUGCCCAGACUGGUCUCAAACUCCUGGGCUCAAAAUCUGCGUGCCAUGGCUUCUCAAAACGCUAGGAUUACUGGCGUGAGUCACCAUGCCUGGCCUAUAAUUUGUUAAUAUGGUUGUUACUACAAAGUUUAAAAUAAAUUGCCCAUGCAUUCCUAUUUAUAAUAGGUGAGUGGAGGACACUUCAAUCUAAAGUGAUCUUAAAGGAGGAGUAGUAGGAUUUGAAGAUGAAGAAAGAAGAGGGGAGGUAAAUUACUUUCCAUCACUUCAAUUUCAACCCAUCAGAUAAAACCUCUCUUUAGUAAACCUGCAUGUGGGUGGAGCUGUAACAGCAAUUAAGGACAGUGUGACUCUGUUCUUCUGACUUUGGGAAAACCAGUUUGGCUGGAACAAAAAGCUGAUAGAGAAGACUAAUGGAAGAUAAGGUUGAAAAGGAAACGGGUCAUGAUCCAGACCCCAGGAGAGGGUUCUUGGAUCUCACACAAGAAAGAAUUCAGGGUGACCCCACAGUGCAAAAGUCAAAGCAAGUAUUAAGAAAAUGAAGGAAUAACAGAAUGGCUACUACAUAGAGCAGCCCUGAGGGCUGCUGGUUGCCCUUUUUUUUUUUUCCUUUGAGAUGGAGUUUUCGUUCUUGUUGCCCAGGCUGGAGUGCAAUGGCGUGAUCUCGGCUCACCACAACCUCCACCUCCCAGGUUCAAGCAAUUCUGCCUCAGCCUCCCGAGUAGCUGAGAUUACAGGCAUGCGCCACCACGCCCGGCUAAUUUUGUGUUUUUAGUAGAGUGAGGGUUUCUCCAUGUUGGUCAGGUUGGUCUUGAACUUCCGACCUCAGUUGAUCUGCCCGCCUUGGCCUCCCAAAGUACUGGGAUUACAGGCAUAAGCCACCGCACCUGGCCUGGUUGCCCAUUCUUUAUGGUCGUUUCUUGAUGAUAUGCUAACCAAGGAGUGGAUUAAUCAUGCCUCCCCUUUUUGGACCACAUAGGGUCUAAACUGUCAUGGCACAUUUGUAAACUGUCAUGGCACUGGUGGGAGUGUAGCAGUGAGGACGACCAGAGGUCACUCUCGUCGCCAUUUUGGUUUUGGUGGGUUUUGGCCAGCUCCUUUACUGCAACCUGUUUUAUCAGCAAGGUCUUUAAGACCUGUAUUUUGUGCUGACCUCCUAUCUCAUCCUGUGACUUAGAAUGCCUUAACUGACCAUCUGGGAAUGCAGCCCAAUAGAUUUCACCCUCAUUUUGCCCGGCUCCUGUUUAAGAUGGAGUUGCUCUGGUUCACAUGCCUCUAACAAAUCCUUUUAGUUUUUCAUGCUUGUCACAUGUUUACUUCUAAGGGUAUAAUCAUGUGGUUUACUAUAUUAUUACCGAUUAGAUUAUUUUGAACUACUUCAAUUUUAUUUAUUUUACCUCAUUUCCAUUCACAUUUUUUGAAAAGAGCUUUUUUAUACAAGAGUGUAAAUAUUUUCACAUUGAAUAAAUGAAUUGAAAACAGUA